GUUGCUCUGUUUUUUUCAUAAAUCCAUUCGCUCUCUGUUUGAAGUACAUUACAUUGUAUACACUUUUCUCAUUUGAGGACUUUUCUUGCCUUAAUCUCAUUGUGGAAGUUUUUUUUAUUGAUAUCUUGUACUGAACAUGUGUAGGUUUUGUUCUUUAUUUUGAUGCAACAUUAUACGAUGUAAAUACCUAUGAGGUUAUGGAUCACAUCACAGUGCCAAAUAAAUUGAGUUGGU